CUGAAGUGAACCGCGCUGUACAAAACACAAAAAAUAUCACCCCAUCCACAGUUUUGUUGACUGCAAAAUUUAUUGCUCCCUACAAAAACAGUAAUUUGUUUACCUUUGACCUUCUUCUGCUAAAGUUGUCCCUCAACCUUUUGAUCUACAAUGACGAUCUGCAUUUUGUCAUGUGAAGCCUGGACCUCCCAGACCUGGAGGGUAACCAUUUUUGGGUUAUCGAAAACCACGGCGAAUUUGAUGAGGACUCAGCAUCGCGAACUCAACUUAUUGGGGGACGACUGUCCCGGCAACAUGCUGCAUGUCCGCUGUGAAUUCGGAUGGUCCACUCAACACGUCGACUUUCAACGAAGCGUCAAGAACGCGUUUGAGAAACUGGGCAAAGUGGACGCCAUUUUGAGCCUGGUUGCCGUCUACUUAAACACCCUGAGCAGCCAGAAUUACAAAGUUGUGAGCAGCACGGAUUCCUGCAGCAGUGAAAAUGGAAUUCGAUAGUGGACCUACACUUUGGAGUUGAAGACGAUCGGAUGAUCUACAAAUUUCGGAUGGAUUGGUGCGUUUUGCCAAAAUUCUUACAGUCAAGGGAAUUUUGACCUUCAUUAUUUACCACAUUGGUUGUUGAGCAUGUAUGUAUAUUUCUCAAUUUCCUGAAUAAAUAAAUACAUCCAUAAA